UACGUAGGGGGCAAGCGUUGUCCGGAAUCAUUGGGCGUAAAGAGCGUGUAGGCGGCUUGGUAAGUCCGCUGUGAAAGUCCAGGGCUCGACCCUGGAAUGCCGGUGGAAACUGUCAAGCUUGAGUCCGGAAGAGGCGAGUGGAAUUCCUGGUGUAGCGGUGAAAUGCGCAGAUAUCAGGAGGAACACCAAUGGCGAAGGCAGCUCGCUGGGACGGUACUGACGCUGAGACGCGAAAGCGUGGGGAGCGAACAGG
rnacentral:rRNA from 1 species